rnacentral:pre_miRNA from 1 species
UGCAGUGGCAGGACUUAGCCCACAUGUGAACACUGCAUGCCACGCCAUGUUCACAGUGGUUAAGUUCUACCACUCUG